GCGCAAGGGGGUUUCGCUGGUUCCUGCGAAAGCAGGCGAAGAGGGAAUGUGAAGGCCAUACGGGCCGAAGCACAGCCGCCCCCGCGACCGUGACCGGAUGAGGCCGCCAUGCCACUGGGUGAUCCCCGGGAAGGCAGGAUGGCCGGCAAGGCCCCGCGCCUUGGCAUCCGCAAGCCGGGAGACCUGCCAGCGAAGGAGAGUUCAA
rnacentral:ncRNA from 2 species